AUUUAUUUUUUGUCCCAUAAUCCCUCACUAUUUACUAUACAUGUAAUGAAAUGUCAUAUCCGUGGAUUUCAUUUUUUUAUCCAAGUUUCUCACUUUUCAUCCUUUUUCUAAUCUUAAUACUUUCAUUUAUUUCAAUUAUUACUUAAUAAUUCUUUCUUUGAUCUCUUAUUCCAACCCCAGAAAGCAUCUUCACGCCAAGUGUGACAGGGUCAACUAUGUCCGCCCAGUGUUCUUCGAGCAUCCACCUGAAGUCCCAACACUUGCAAGCAGAGCUCUCACUCUCAAGUCUAAGACUCAAAAGCCUCAUUUGAAUAAUGACGCCAUCUAUAUGAUCAGAGGCCUUUUCAUGAGCGCUGGUUCACAAUUCUAUGGCUCGAAUCUUUAGAAUAAUCUUAUUUAUUACCUAUGUCUACUCUUUAGGUAGAAUACCAUUAUCCAUUUUUACUAAGAAAUUGAAAGAAACCUAAGAGGGUGUAUGUGUGUUACCUCUCUAAUAUAAUCAUAGCUCAAACAGAAAAAAUUAUAAGAUAUGAAACAUUUUA
rnacentral:misc_RNA from 1 species